GGCAGUUCUUGGUGAUGCACCCUGGAACCGACCUCCUCCUCUCUGGUUCCUGGUGUGUCACCCCAAGAACCGCA
rfam:Myotis davidii contig81444, whole genome shotgun sequence.